rnacentral:lncRNA from 1 species
AAGAUUAAGGUGUUUGAACAACAUCAUAAUAAUAAUUUAAGUUGAAAGCCACUCCAAUUUAAAGAUUGGUUUAUUUAUGUAGAUAAAAAUGUUUUACAACUUUUUUAUUAAAAUAAACUUGAUAGUUGGCUACAAUAGAAUACAAUUUAAGGAAGAACUACUUAAUAUUUUACUUUUCAAUCACAUUAAGCAACAAAGCACAUUUGAUUUUAAUUUUGUAUGUAUAUGUAAGAUCAUUAUUAUCUGUUAUGGCAUUAAAAUGUUUAAUCACUUCUAUUACAAGCUUGAGAAAGAAUAUAUUAUUCAAAUUUUUGAUAGCUCUAAACACAUCUACUUAAUCAUUGUCCUUCAUAUCUUUGAAUUUAUAUUGCUCUCAUAUGUUUUUUUGAGCAUCUU